AACGAACGCUGGCGGCAUGCCUAACACAUGCAAGUCGAACGCGUGUAGCAAUACACGAGUGGCGGACGGGUGAGUAACGCGUGGGAACCUGCCCAGUGGUAGGGAAUAACUGCGGGAAACUGCAGCUAAUACCCUAUACGCCCUUUGGGGGAAAGAUUCAUCGCCAUUGGAGGGGCCCGCGUCGGAUUAGCUAGUUGGCGGGGUAACGGCCCGACCAACGG
rnacentral:rRNA from 1 species